AUGGUACAAAGAAAAAAGAGCGGUGGACAAAAUAAUUGCCCCAAAAUAUUAGGGUAUCCUGCAUCUUUUGAACGUUAGGGUACCCUACAUGAAAUGGGGCAGUGAAGAGUUUGAAGUUUUAAGUGUGUUUGUGGUGAGUGCUUGUUGGUUGAAAGUGGUGGAACAACCAUUUUGCCUUGUAUAGUUAAACUGUUUCUUAUAAUGCGAAUUAAUACUUGUUUAAAGAUAAU
rnacentral:misc_RNA from 1 species